AGUGGAAUUGCUGGGUAACAUGUUAAGUUUAUGUUUAAUUUUUAAGAAAAUGCCAAAGCAUUUUCCAAAGUGGCUGUAUCAUUUCACAUUCCCAUCAGCAAU
rnacentral:pre_miRNA from 1 species